rnacentral:rRNA from 1 species
UACACAUGCAAGUCGAACGAUGAUGCCCAGCUUGCUGGGCGGAUUAGUGGCGAACGGGUGAGUAACACGUGAGUAACCUGCCCUUGACUUCGGGAUAACUCCGGGAAACCGGGGCUAAUACCGGAUAUGAGCCGUCCUCGCAUGGGGGUGGUUGGAAAGUUUUUCGGUCAGGGAUGGGCUCGCGGCCUAUCAGCUUGUUGGUGGGGUGAUGGCCUACCAAGGCGACGACGGGUAGCCGGCCUGAGAGGGCGACCGGCCACACUGGGACUGAGACACGGCCCAGACUCCUACGGGAGGCAGCAGUGGGGAAUAUUGCACAAUGGGCGAAAGCCUGAUGCAGCGACGCCGCGUGAGGGAUGAAGGCCUUCGGGUUGUAAACCUCUUUCAGCAGGGAAGAAGCGCAAGUGACGGUACCUGCAGAAGAAGCGCCGGCUAACUACGUGCCAGCAGCCGCGGUAAUACGUAGGGCGCAAGCGUUGUCCGGAAUUAUUGGGCGUAAAGAGCUCGUAGGCGGUUUGUCGCGUCUGGUGUGAAAACUCGAGGCUCAACCUCGAGCUUGCAUCGGGUACGGGCAGACUAGAGUGCGGUAGGGGAGACUGGAAUUCCUGGUGUAGCGGUGGAAUGCGCAGAUAUCAGGAGGAACACCGAUGGCGAAGGCAGGUCUCUGGGCCGCAACUGACGCUGAGGAGCGAAAGCAUGGGGAGCGAACAGGAUUAGAUACCCUGGUAGUCCAUGCCGUAAACGUUGGGCACUAGGUGUGGGGCUCAUUCCACGAGUUCCGUGCCGCAGCAAACGCAUUAAGUGCCCCGCCUGGGGAGUACGGCCGCAAGGCUAAAACUCAAAGGAAUUGACGGGGGCCCGCACAAGCGGCGGAGCAUGCGGAUUAAUUCGAUGCAACGCGAAGAACCUUACCAAGGCUUGACAUGCACGAGAAGCCGCCAGAGAUGGUGGUCUCUUUGGACACUCGUGCACAGGUGGUGCAUGAUUGUCGUCAGCUCGUGUCGUGAGAUGUUGGGUUAAGUCCCGCAAACG